UUAUAAACCAACGGAGGAAGAAUGGGCAAGAUAUCUAAACAACAAGAGGGCUGAAAAUUUUCCUGUGAAAGUCAAUGUUCCUAACAGGGACGGUUACGGACGAACUUGGAAAUGAUCUACUUGAGUUCCAAGAUAAUGGUUUUGAUGUGGGAAAUGGGGAUCGAGGCUUUCUGUACUUUGCUCGAUAUCCCAAUUUGGUCAUAGAGUAUGCUGAUAUGGCGCUCUGAUACAAUGAUGCUCGAUGAUGGCCGUGGUCUUUGAGAUGCUGUUGUUCUUGUUUUGCAACGUUUGGCCCGUGGUCUUUAGUUUUUCUUUUCAAUGUUAAAAGGUGAUACUUGAAAACAGGUCGCUGUUGUUGACAUUUUGUACAUCUCUCUUUUUCUUUCUUGUUUUGCAACGUUGGGAAUCCAAGGAGGCAUCAAAUUAGGAUUUAUGUUGAAGAAUCAUUGAAAAAUAUACUUUCACAAUCUCUUUUUAUUCCUACUCCUUCUCCUUUAAAUUUAACUAAAUAUUUUUCACUAAA